CCGACCAAUCAUAUGCUCGCAGGAAACGCUGCGUUCUCGAAAUGGUAAAUCUCGAGUUCAAGUUGAGGACCGGAUAAAGAAAUUACAUUCAGGAACAAGAAUUGGCAACGUCACUUUUUAUUUUUAGAUAACUAGUAUUUAACUUUUGCUAUUCUUAUCUAACAUGAGCUACCAUAAGGGAUAUGAACGUGUAGUUUCCCAACAAGCCUUUCAUUCUAAUAGUCAUACCAUAUUCUUGAUAUUCAACAGAUGCACAACCUUUGGCAGGGGAAAAAAACUCAGUUGAGAGAGUACAAGUAAGAGAUAAUGAAUGCCACCAGACAAUAAUUUAGACUGAGACAAGAUGAGCUAGCCAGCUAGGAAAAGACUCGUCGCAAGGUGAAGACUCGUCGCAAGGAGAAGACUCGUCGCAAGGAGAAGACUCGUCGCAAGGUGAAGACUCGUGGCAAGGUGAAGACUCGUCGCAAGGAGAAGACUCGUCGCAAGGAGAAGACUCGUCGCAAGGUCGCAAGAAGACUCGUCGCAAGGAGAAGACUCUUCGCAAGGUCGCAAGGAGAAGACUUGUCGCAAGGAGAAGACUCGUCGCAAGGAGAAGACUCGUCGCAAGGUGAAGACUCGUCGCAAGGAGAAGACUCGUCGCAAGGAGAAGACUCGUCGCAAGGUGAAGAAUCGUCGCAAGGUGAAGACUCGUCGCAAGGAGGAGACUCGUCGCAAGGAGAAGACUCGUCGCAAGGUGAAGACUCGUCGCAAGGUGAAGACUCGUCGCAAGGUGAAGACUCUACGCAAGGAGAAGACUCUACGCAAGGAGAAGACUCUACGCAAGGAGAAGACUCUACGCAAGGGGAAGACUCUACGCAAGGAGAAGACUCUACGCAAGGAGAAGACUCUACGCAAGGAGAAGACUCUACGCAAGGGGAAGACUAUACGCAAGGAGAAGACUCUACGCAAGGAGAAGACUACACAAGGAGAUGACUCGACACGAGAGGAUUCGACAGGUAGGUAAUUGACACAAGGAGGAGACUCGUCGCAAGGACAGGACUCGUCGCAAGCACAUGACUCGUUAGAUAGUCUUCUCCUUGUGUAGAUUACCUAACGGAGAGGACGCGAAAGGUAGGUAAUCGACACAAGUAGAAGAAUCGUCGCAAGGACAGGAGUCGACAUAAGGAGAGGACUCGACAGGUAGGUAAUUGACACAAGGAGAAGACUCGUCGCAAGGACAGGACCCGACAUAAGGAGAGGACUCGACAGGUAGGUAAUCAACAAGUAGAAGAAUCGUCACAAGGACAGGACUCGUCACAAGGAGAGGAUUUGACAGGUAAGUUAUUGACACAAGGAGGAGACUCGUUGCAAGGACAGGACUCGUCGCAAGCACAGGACUCGUCAGAUAAGUAAUCGACACAAGGAGAAGACUUGUCGCAAGGAGAAGACUACACGGAGAGAACUCGACACGAGAGGACUCGACAGGUAGGUAAUUGACACAAGGAGAAGACUCGUCGCAAGGACAGGUCUCGUCACAAGGAGAGGAUUCGACAGGUAGGUUUUUGACACGAGGAGACUUGUUGCAAGGACAGGACUCGUCGCAAGCACAGGACUCGUCAGAUAGUCUUCUCCUUGUGUAGAUUACCUAUCUGACGAGUCCUGUGCUUGCGAUGAGUCCUGUCCUUGCAAUGAGUCUUCUCCUUGUGUUGAUGACCUAACGGAGAGAACUCGACACGAGGACUCGACUGGUUUGUAAUCAACACAAAGAGAAGACUCGUCGCAAGGUGAAUACUCGUCGCAAGGUGAAGACUCGUCGCAAGGUGAAGACUCGUCGCAAGGAGAAGACUCUACGCAAGGAGAAGACCCGACUGGUAGGUAAUCCACACAAGAAGACUCGUCGCAAGGAGAGGACUCGACAGGUAGGUAAUCAACACAAGGAGCAGACUCGUCGCAUGGAGAAGAUUCUACGCAAGGAGAAGAUUCUACGCAAGGAGAAGACUCUACGCAAGGAGAAGACUCUACGCAAGGAGAAGACUCUAGGCAAGGACAGGAAUCGACACAAGGAGAGGACUCGACAGGUAGGUAAUCGACACAAGUAGAAAGCUCUUCACAAGGACAGGACUCGACAUAAGGAGAGGACUCGACAGGUAGGUUAUUGACACGAGGAGACUCGUUGCAAGGACAGGACUCGUCAGAUAGUCCUCUCCUUGUUUAGAUUACCUAACGGAGAGAACUCGACACGAGGACUCGACUGGUAGGUAAUCCACACAAGACUCGUCACAAGGAGAGGACGCGACACGUAGGUAAUCUACACAAGGAGAAGACUCUACGCAAGGAGAAGACUCUACGCAAGGAGAACACUCUACGCAAGGAAAAGACUCUACGCAAGGAAAAGACUCUACGCAAGGAGAAGACUCUACGCAAGGAGAAGACUCUACGCAAGGAGAAGACUCUACGCAAGGACAGGAAUGGACACUAGGAGAGGACUCAACAGGUAGGUAAUCGACACAAGGAGAUGACUCGACGCAAGAGGACUCGACAGGUAGGUAAUCGACACAAGGAGAAGACUCGUCGCAAGGAGAAGACUCGUCGCAAGGAGGAGACUCAACACAAGGAGAAGACUCAUCUCUUAGAUAUCAUUCUCACACCAAACUGAUACAAACUGACACCACAUCCACUUUUUCCAAUUAAUUUAGAAGCCAACUAUCACUGACAUGUGUAGGCCUAUGUGAGGCGAUCCCAAAUCCCGAGUUUCGGCUCGAUAGGUCAUUUGGAGCCCGAGCAGCGACCUUAAUUGGUGCUGAAAAUGCACAUUUUCCGGCGUUGCUACGGGGUCCUUGAAUGAGAUAUCGGACAGAAACGUUGGGGUCAGUCUCUAUGGGCCAAGGCGGUUUCAAUGCACCUAGUCUUGCGACUCUGGGACUUUUCUAAAUGUCGUCAUUUUCAUGUCAAAAUGAUUUUAAGUUAUUGCAAAUGUACGAGGCUGUUUCUCGGUCUGAGGCACUUCCGGUUGGCACAGGAAGCUUAAAGUAAACACAUAUCCUCAUUGGGUUGGGCUUUUACAGAAUCCUAGGUUUAAAGUCUUUAUGUUAAGAAUUGACUGAUUUACACAGGGUUGAAUGCAGUGUUUAUCAUAAUCUUCAGGUUGUUUAUAUCAAAACACCUUUAGGGGGAAUUUAAUCAACACAGGUAGAGCUCAUAGUGGCCUGAUGGACUAUCAUUGAAGACAGGUUCAUAAGACAUUCAUAACCCACAUAGGCUUCAGGUUGAAUUUAGGGGAGCAGGUCAUGUAUUCCUAUGGGGAGAGAAGUCAUUGCAAACUGUUUGAUGUAAACACCUUCUUUUAACUGUUAAGGGUUAAUGCCACACGGUCAAGGUUAGGCUUGCACAGAUCGGGAGGACCUUAGGAGCACCCCUGCGGUUGACUUUUCCUUCUCACCCUAACGGCUACGCCGCUGUCCCCCAGGAGCACCUGAAAUUUAGGGCCAGGCUUCAUUUUGGGCCUACUUUUUUGAACGGUCGCUGCGCUCAGACCGAGUGAGCUACGGUCAAGUGGGGCAUCUCGUUGAACUCUGCACGGCCUAGAGACUAGGUUGAUGCCAUUUGUUUCCCUGUCUGUGAUGAUUUCAGCCUGUCUGUGUAAGUUUCUAGUACAACUUGUGCUUCCAGAACAGCAGGAAUACAGACUACAGCAGGUCUUUAUUGUUUAUUUCACUUUUGUUUAUUAUCUACUUCACUUGCUUAUGUUAACGUAUGUUUCCCAUGCCAAUUUUUAACAACCGUGAAGGACAGUAAACACAGUGAAGGUUCAACACUUACAAAUUAAGUGACGCAGACCAAAUCCAAACCUUAAAAAAAGCACAACACAAAGAAUUACUCAAAUAAUAAUUUAAUUAAACAUCACAAAUACAAACAAAAUCACAAAUACAAACCUUGACAUUAUAAAGAAUCACACCGAAAUAGAAAAUAGAACAAGACAGUUAAAGAGUAAAUUACACACUAUUCACACUUUCGAAAUCUGUACAAGCACACACACCAAAAUAGAAAACCACACCAAACAAAAUCAGAACAGUGUAAGACGGUCUUUAACAGUCUGCGGGAAGAGGAAGUCUCAUUGUUGGUUGGCUCCCCUUCCUUCUAGCUGCAUCGGGGCUCCCCUUCCGUCUAGCUGCAUCGGGGCUCCCCUUCCGUCUAGCUGCAUCGGGGCUCCCCUUCCGUUUAGCUACAUCGGGGCUCCCCUUCCUUCUAGCUGCAUCGGGGCUCCCCUUCCGUCUAGCUGCAUCGGGGCUCCCCUUCCGUCUAGCUGCAUCGGGGCUCCCCUUCCGUCUAGCUGCAUCGGGGCUCCCCUUCCGUCUAGCUGCAUCGGGGCUCCCCUUCCGUCUAGCUGCAUCGGGGCUCCCCUCUUUCCUUGUUUGCCUUCUCCUGCAGCUUUCUCCUCCUUGAGGCAAUGGCUUUUUUGAGUCUGACUGUUUGAAUUCAACUGAAAAUAAGAAUUUGUUCUUAACUGACUUGCCUAGUUAAAUAAAGGUAAAAUAUAUAACUAGGCAAGUCAGUUAAGAACAAAUUCUUAUUUUCAAUGACGGCCUAGGAACAGUGGGUUAACUGCCUGUUCAUGGGCAGAACGGCAGAUUUGUACCUUGUCAGCUCGGGGGUUUGAACUUGCAACCUGACGGUUACUAGUCCAACGCUCUAACCACUAGGCUACCCUGCCGCUCUAAUGUGACAAUGGGGGAGUUGAGGGCCGACUUGCUCUUCACUUCGAGGGGUAAGACAAGCAGGGGGCUGACGGUCAGCACCAUGCGGCGCCUGAGGAUCGUCUGCUUCCUCUUUUGGGUCUCCACAAUAUCCAAAUCGGUCUCAAGUGGGAUGGCAGGGAUCGAUGCCCUCAAUGCCGCCAGCCUCUCCAUCGUCAGCCGUCUCCUAAGGUCCUCUAAAACCCGUCUCCUCUGUGUGGGAGUCUAUAUGCCGGUCUGCUGAGAUGUGUGGAGCGUCCUGUCACUGGACAAUGCUACCGCCUGACAUUGACACGGCCCGACUGCCAAUUACAAAGGGAGCAACCCUGUUCCUCACAUGGCUGAAGCCAAUCACAACCUUAUAGCAAAGUGGACAUGAGCGCACUGGAGCCAUCUAUACUGUUCUAUACUAUUGAAAAGUGAAAUAAGAGUAAAUGAGUAAAAAACACAAUCCCUGAAAGAACAAUGCUUCAGGCUGCUUAAUAGAUACUUGUAAACACACGAGACCACUCCUCACCACUCUAGAAUCUCCUCUUCAUCACUCCCUGAACUCCUCUUAAUAGAUACUUAUAAACACACAUGAGACCAUUCUAGAAUCUUUCCCUGAACUCUUCCUCUGCUUGUCAGCAAAAAGUGAAAAGCAGUCUAUCAGAAAAGAUCACUCUUCUCAUUAAAAACACUCCCCCAAGUUGACCUCGGCACAGUCUAGAGAUUAUGGUAAUGCCAUUGCAGGCUCUGUGUGUCUUUAAGCACCGCACUGUGUCACUCCAUCCUUGAUGUGUGUGUGAGAGAGAUUUUCUUUUUACAUCUGUUGGGGGAAAUGACUGAUUUACAGUUCAUGAGGGUUGCCUAAUAACACAUAUGAAGUUUUGAAAAGAUCUGACCUUUUUAACCCUUCAAAACAGCCUCUAUGACCCCAAUUUAAGGCACUUCCGGUUGACACAGGAAGUUGAAAGUGAACACAUUUCCUCCUUGGGGUUGGCUCUUACCGAAUUUUGAGUUUUAAGUCUUUACGUUAAUUCUUUGGGCUGAAAUCCAGUUAACGGAAUUGAUAUGACAAAACAAACUACGAGUUGUAGUAGCCUAUUCAAUUGGCCCAGCGUUGUCCAGGUUUGGCCGGUGUAUGCCGUCAUUGUAAAUAAGAAUUUGUUGACUAG